UACGUAGGUGGCAAGCGUUGUCCGGAUUUAUUGGGUUUAAAGGGUGCGUAGGCGGCCUAUUAAGUCAGUGCUGAAAUAUCCCGGCUUAACCGGGAGGGUGGCAUUGAUACUGAUGGGCUUGAGUAGAGUUGAGGUUGGCGGAAUUGACGGUGUAGCGGUGAAAUGCUUAGAUAUCAAGAGGAACACCUGAGGUGAAGACGGGUUGCUGGGCUGACACUGACGCUGAGGCGCGAAAGCCAGGGGAGCAAACGGG
rnacentral:rRNA from 1 species